AAUUGGUUCCUGAAGAAAAUGGCUGCUGGGUUUUCGCCAUUGUUGUUGUUGGAGUUAAGGUUUUGUUGAAGGGACCCAUCAGAGGUUUUGGUGUGGUUCGGAGGCUGCUUAUAGAUCCAUAGUCAAAGAGGAUCUGAGAAAAAGACAAGCUAGGCAAAUCCACAAGAAAGAAACUCCGAUUAAACGGCAUUAACUCGACUUCAAAAACCUAACAUGUAAGUCGAAUGUCCUCCAAGGAUGAAGAAAGGGAAGUGAAUGAGGUAUGGACCUGCUUCCAAUGGCUUGAUGGAGUUUAAUAAUGAGGUCUUCUUCUUGAGGAGUGAAGCUGUCAUGCCUGAGAUCAGGCCUAAGGUAAUUAGUCCAUCUUAGUCUACAACUCUUCCCACAUCUAUUCAAACCUGUUUGAAAAGGAGCCAAAUUGUAUAUUUAUUAAAAUGCCUUUUUGUUUUGUUAAAUUACAAAAGAAUCAAAACAAAGAAGAAACAUGGAAGAGAGAAAAGAGAAGAGACCUGCUUUCUUGGGAACCAGAGUCCAAUUGCCAACUCCAUGGUUGGAAACAUAAGCAAGGAUUUUGGCAUCUUCUUCUGCAGUCCAAAGUCCCCGUUUAACAUUGGACUUAUCACAGCAAGGAGGUUUCCCCAUCUCCCAACAAUGGUGAUGAAAGGGAAACUGAGGGCAGAAGUUAUAUUAUGUAAUGGUGAUGCAAUUCGAAGCUAGUACAUUUUUCUAAGAGAGGGAAGUGAAUGUUUAUGAAGUGAUCUUAAGGCGAGAAAUGCAUGGAAACUUGGCUCUCAUUUAACCAUUACUGCAUGAUUGUUUUCAUCUC